CGAGUUAACAAAACGAUUAUUAUUUUCUGUUUUGUCAAACGAAACAAAAUUCCCAAAUCGACACGAUAUUCCUCUUUGGAACCCUAGUUUCAGAGAACUCAACGAUGAAGGAUCUCGUCUCUCUCUCAAUGACCGCCGAUGAGGACAUUCUAGUUGGAUUUUUGAUGGCUGGAAUUGGUAAUGUUGAUUUUUGAUUCAAGCUCUUCGGUAGAAGAAGAAGGCAAUGCAGCGAUUGAUAUAAAAAAGCAACCAAAGAGAUCUGAGGCAACCCUUCUCUCCUCUAGUUUGUGAUCUUUACACAAAAAGGAUGUUUCAGCUUUUGUUGUCUCCCUACUCCACAAUUACCAUGCCUGAUGGUCGUGAGGAAUCUGUCAUGAAACGUACCACACUUGUUGCCAACACUUCUAAGUUAGAAGUUCUAACGUACCACACUUGUUUCAUUCAUGUUCUCUUUCUUGUGUUUUUGAACCAAACAACUUACCAAUUGAUCAAUUUAGCCAUAUAUUAACUACACAUGAUCUAUUAAAGUUUGUCAUUUUAAUGUUUAUGUUUCUAUC